ensembl:lncRNA
UGAAAACUUCCCUUUGGGGGCAAGACCCUUGGACUUCAAUGUGGAGCUGGGGAGACUGGGAAAGGAGCAAAUGUGUCAACCUGGGCUUGAGCGGAGCUGCUUGUAAACUGAUGAUGGGGCGAGAGAUAAGCAUCACUGUUUCGGCUGUUAGAUAUGCACCCUGACCCUGUCCUACACUCAAGAGAAUCACAGUCAUUUUCCAAAGCUUUCUUUUUCCUGAGGAAGAUUCACCUGAGCUAACAUCUGUUGCCAGUCUUCUUCUUUUUGUACGUGAGCCCCCACCAUAGCACGGCCACUGACAGACGAGCGCUGUAGGUGCACGCCAGGGAACCUAACCUGGGCCGCCGAAGUGGAGCAUGCCGAACUUAACCGCUGGGCCACCGGGGCUGGCCCCCAAAGGUUUCUUUAAAAGAAAGGGUAAAUUACAUGCGUUAUUUCAGUGUUUGACAAUCUUCCCAUAUUUUACUAAAACACUGAUGUGGAAGCAGGAGGAUCCGAGGACCCACCAGCGUGGCCACAUUGGGAAAGUCAUGUUGCCCUCUCCGGGCCUCUCUUUCUUCACAAGGAACUGCUGCUGGUUCUUCGAUUUCUAGCUAAACUCUCACUGAUUGAACUGUCACAGCUAACUUUGACUGUUUAUUCAGUAACAACGCGAAUUUACAAAAGUAAAUUGCACCAGAGCUCAAUAAGAAUGGUCCAUCCUGAGUUGACGCCUGGGCCAGCUGCCUAGCUGAUUCUCCUUGCUCAUUUUUCUACAUCAGCCAGUAGAUCCGGCUAGAAUUCCAAGGCCUUGGACUUUGCUGGACUACGAAAAGGAAGAGGAAAGGGAAGCGAAUAGCCACCAGGAUGGAACCUGCUUUCCUGUGCUCUUCUAAGCUGCUUUCAGCUCCAGCUCUGCAGAGUUCAAAGCUCUGAGGAAGCCACUCUUAUUGCGUCCAAAAGAUUAUAGAAUGAUACAGUAGUCUAGGUUGGAACUAUACCAUCUGUUUAUGCCCUGAGAAUUUUAAAAACCAUCCCCAUGUUUACCAAUCUGAGCUCACAUGUCACAUAUGUGGGGAAAUAACUAAGUAGCUGCCAGGCAGAAGCAAGACUCUUCUUGUUCAGAAGCUCCGCACAGAAUCAGGUUAAUUCCUGAAAGCCUUUGUUAAGCGCACUGUUUGUCAUCCCCGUUGCCCAGGAGGGGGUGACGCUCGCAGCCCUCAGAUUGAUUUCUGUCACUUAGGAGUCUUUUAAAAUCAAGCAUAUGCUCCUCCUCUUAGCUGGUGUAUAUUCUCUCAGGCAUAGUUUCUCCCAACAAAUUCGUUUUUUUCUAUGUUGAAAUCACAUCGGGAGAGAGAACAUCUGCAAAUAUUGUAAGAAUCUCAGCUUCAUAUCCAUCACCCCACUGCACUUUGAACUCAGGCAAAUUCAAAGGGGACCUUGUACAGAGGAAACAUCCAUGGCUUGGGGCAAACAUUUCAUCACUCUAGCCUCUAAGUCUUCAAACAAACUCCUGGCAUGCUCCUGAAGGAGGCUGGCAGACUCUCUGUUGAUGCCUCCGAGCCACGACACUUCAGAUCCUUUUGCUUUUGUCUAUUACUUGUCCUGUCUCUUGCUGAUUAUUGUUGACUGUAGAGGCAAGCCAGCUUCUAUACACGACACAAUCACCCUUUGUCAACUAGAAUCUUUCCUAACGUUGAAUAACUCGGUCCGUAAACAAGGGCAACAUUCAUUCAUUUUCACUGUUUUCCAUUUUUUUUUAAUUAUCUCUUGUUGGUAAUUGAAUAUAUCAGUGAAUCCUUUCAUGGACAUGAUGGGGUUAAAAACGUUUGCAAAACACCUGAGGCUUAGUAUGAGCAGAGCAAGCACCCUGCAGACCAUGGUACCUGAGGCCAAGAACCCUGAUGGGUCACUGGUGGUGAGCUGAGCUUUCUCUGGAGAGCACAACUUUGAUGACGACCAUAGAAGUUCUCAGGGAGAGGGCAUCUGUACUUCCCAGAAAGAGCUAGAAGGAGAUUCUAAAGUGGAUGCUUGCUAUACUGUUUCCAGAAUCAUUCGACCAGGCAGGAGGUUGACACAAUUACCUGGAGGGUAUGGGUAGAAAGAACUCUACUUAUCUACAUAAUAAAAAAUAAAAAAAUCAAA